UUCAGCCACAGGACUCUUCUCAUCAGGUUUCACUUAUGCCAGUGAUGUCAAAUCUAAGAGACUGGGCCAAAGCUUCAAGCUUCUCCUUUGUUCCUCAUGCUGCCUGCGUUGGUGCAGAAACAUUUCAGGUGUGGGUACAUUGUAGCCAACACCAUCUGCAGCAGAUUGAGGGAUCAUAUUAGUGCUCGUUUCCUCAAGUUUUGGCACAUCAACCCAUCGCUCAUCAUAGUUUGCAGUGCCUUUCAAGAGAGACUGAGCCUCACAGUUCCUCGUCAACGUGUGCUGCAAGGAGUCAGAAUUCCUUUCAUCAAAUUUACAGGAAAAUGAGAAAAAGUGGAAGUAGAAGGAAGUAAAAAAGACAGAGACAACUCUAAAGAAGUAAUUUCAUUGUACACAGUGUGUCUUACGGUUGCUGAUUAAAAAAAAGACAAUUUGAUUCAUUAAAAGGAGAUUGCCAUUUUGUAAA